GCCUUCUUUCCAUGCCUCUCCUCUAUUCCUCUCCCUCAGCCUUCAUAUGCAUCCACCCUCACCAAACCGUUCCUAAAGCUUUUGAGGUCCAUCCAAGUCUCUCUCAGCCUUAGACCGACAUUGACGCAUGUUGGUUCAAGCCGCAAGUCACGUUACUUGGACUUGGUUGCACUCUCAUUCGGGCUUAGUUUGUGUACAUGUUUGACAAUCAAUUUCCUUAUGCUUUUGUAUGCAAGUGAAAUCUCCAACUCUUGACUAGGGCGAUAACCUACGUCAUCAAGUUUUGUUGUGUGCUCACCCAUGUAAACCAUGUGUAUGUUGUAAUAUUAUUUUAUAUGAUUUGCUCAUGUUUGCAUGUUUGAAUACAUUCAUGCCCUAGGAAGAGGUCGAGGUUCGCUCGGCUUGGAUUGGCAUUGAGGCAUGCCGGUUCCAAGUCUCACAUUAGUUUUGGGAGCUGCAAUUACGCUAGAGGAGAUAGAAAUUCGCCUGGCCUACGUGGAUAUUUAUAGUGUGAUGUAAAAAGGAAAAAAGGCCCGUAGAGAAAUGGCUUAUAAAUAUACUGUUAUAAUAUAAAGUAAGGUAUUAUGUGU